UUGAUUCUGGCUCAGGAUGAACGCUAGCGACAGGCUUAACACAUGCAAGUCGAGGGGCAGCGGUGGUGAAGGCUUGCCUUUACCAGCCGGCGACCGGCGCACGGGUGAGUAACACGAAUGCAACCUGCCUGCCACAGCCGGAUAAUCGGGAGAAAUUCCGUCUAAUACGGCAUAAUGCAUCGACGGGACAUCCUGUUGGUGCCAAGGGUUGAUUCCGGUGGCGGAUGGGCAUGCGUCGCAUUAGUUAGUUGGCGGUGUAACGGACCACUAAGACGACGAUGCGUAGGGGUUCUGAGAGGAAGGUCCCCCACACUGGUACUGAGACACGGACCAGACUCCUACGGGAGGCAGCAGUGAGGAAUAUUGGUCAAUGGGCGGGAGCCUGAACCAGCCAAGUCGCGUGAGGGAUGACGGCCCUAUGGGUUGUAAACCUCUUUUGCCGGGGAGCAAAGUGCCGCACGUGUGCGGUUUGGAGAGUACCCGGAGAAAAAGCAUCGGCUAACUCCGUGCCAGCAGCCGCGGUAAUACGGAGGAUGCGAGCGUUAUCCGGAUUUAUUGGGUUUAAAGGGUGCGUAGGCGGACGCUUAAGUCAGCGGUAAAAUUGCGGGGCUCAACCUCGUCGAGCCGUUGAAACUGGGUGCCUUGAGUGGGCGAGAAGUACGCGGAAUGCGUGGUGUAGCGGUGAAAUGCAUAGAUAUCACGCAGAACUCCGAUUGCGAAGGCAGCGUACCGGCGCCCAACUGACGCUGAAGCACGAAGGCGUGGGUAUCGAACAGGAUUAGAUACCCUGGUAGUCCACGCAGUAAACGAUGAAUGCUAGUUGUCCGGGGCGAUUGAGUUCUGGGUGACACAGCGAAAGCGUUAAGCAUUCCACCUGGGGAGUACGCCGGCAACGGUGAAACUCAAAGGAAUUGACGGGGGCCCGCACAAGCGGAGGAACAUGUGGUUUAAUUCGAUGAUACGCGAGGAACCUUACCCGGGCUCAAACGCAGGAGAGAUGUUUUUGAAAGGAGGCAGCCAGCAAUGGUCUCCUGCGAGGUGCUGCAUGGUUGUCGUCAGCUCGUGCCGUGAGGUGUCGGCUUAAGUGCCAUAACGAGCGCAACCCCUACCUACAGUUGCCAUCGCGUGAUGGCGGGCACUCUGUGGGGACUGCCUGCGCAAGCAGUGAGGAAGGCGGGGAUGACGUCGAAUCAGCACGGCCCUUACGUCCGGGGCGACACACGUGUUACAAUGGCAGGUACAGCGGGAAGCCAUCCGGCGACGGGGCGCGGAACCCGAAAACCUGUCUCAGUUCGGAUUGGAGUCUGCAACCCGACUCCAUGAAGCUGGAUUCGCUAGUAAUCGCGCAUCAGCCACGGCGCGGUGAAUACGUUCCCGGGCCUUGUACACACCGCCCGUCAAGCCAUGGAAGCCGGGGGUGCCUGAAGUGCGUGACCGCAAGGAGCGCCCUAGGGUAAAACCGGUGACUGGGGCUAAGUCGUAACAAGGUAACCGU
rnacentral:rRNA from 1 species